GAACCUUUUCCUGUUAUACCUUGUUAAAGCAGUGUCAUUCUUGUCAGAGAACUUGCUGAGUACAGCCAUAGAGGAUAGAGAACAAGAGGAGGUCCAAGAAGGUUUUGACAUCUGGUUCAGAAUUGCAGUCCUGGUGGAGUUCAGGAUCUCUCCCUCCAGCAUCAGAUGAGAGAUCUGAUAAAGAUAAACGUGUGGAAAACGUGUCAUUUGAUGAAGGAGGCUCUGGGCAAACACGGGCGACAUGAUGAGCCUGUGAUCUGCCUGCAUGAGUGUCAGCAGGAGACGGGCCAGAGAUCUCAAUCCAGAGCCUCGCUCUCACUCUCCCAUUCUCUGACUCUCUCUUCUCCUGUACAACUGAUAGUGCUGUUGAACAUAAAAAUCAGAC
ensembl:lncRNA